rnacentral:rRNA from 1 species
AGAGUUUGAUCCUGGCUCAGGAUGAACGCUGGCGGCGUGCCUAACACAUGCAAGUCGAGCGAAGCACUUUGCUUAGAUUCUUCGGAUGAAGAGGAUUGUGACUGAGCGGCGGACGGGUGAGUAACGCGUGGGUAACCUGCCUCAUACAGGGGGAUAACAGUUAGAAAUGACUGCUAAUACCGCAUAAGACCACAGCACCGCAUGGUGCGGGGGUAAAAACUCCGGUGGUAUGAGAUGGACCCGCGUCUGAUUAGCUAGUUGGUAAGGUAACGGCUUACCAAGGCGACGAUCAGUAGCCGACCUGAGAGGGUGACCGGCCACAUUGGGACUGAGACACGGCCCAAACUCCUACGGGAGGCAGCAGUGGGGAAUAUUGCACAAUGGGGGAAACCCUGAUGCAGCGACGCCGCGUGAGUGAAGAAGUAUUUCGGUAUGUAAAGCUCUAUCAGCAGGGAAGAAAAUGACGGUACCUGACUAAGAAGCACCGGCUAAAUACGUGCCAGCAGCCGCGGUAAUACGUAUGGUGCAAGCGUUAUCCGGAUUUACUGGGUGUAAAGGGAGCGUAGACGGAUGGGCAAGUCUGAUGUGAAAACCCGGGGCUCAACCCCGGGACUGCAUUGGAAACUGUUCAUCUAGAGUGCUGGAGAGGUAAGUGGAAUUCCUAGUGUAGCGGUGAAAUGCGUAGAUAUUAGGAGGAACACCAGUGGCGAAGGCGGCUUACUGGACUGUCACUGACACUGAUGCACGAAAGCGUGGGGAGCAAACAGGAUUAGAUACCCUGGUAGUCCACGCCGUAAACG